rnacentral:rRNA from 1 species
GACGAACGCUGGCGGCGUGCUUAACACAUGCAAGUCGAACGGAAAGGCCCUGCUCUUGUGGGGUGCUCGAGUGGCGAACGGGUGAGUAACACGUGAGUAACCUGCCCUUGACUUUGGGAUAACUUCAGGAAACUGGGGCUAAUACCGGAUAGGAGCUCCUGCUGCAUGGGGGGGGUUGGAAAGUUUCGGCGGUUCGGGCUGGACUCGCGGCUUAUCAGCUUGUUGGUGGGGUAGUGGCUGACCAAGCCUUUGACGGGUAGCCGGCCUGAGAGGGUGACCGGCGACAUGGGGCCUGAGGUACGGCGCAGACGCCUACGGGAGGCAGCAGGGGGGAAUAUGGCGGAAUGGGGGGAAGCCUGAUGCGGCAAUGCCGCGUGCGUGAUGACGGCCUUCGGGUUGUAAACCGCUGUGGCAUGUGACGAAGCGUGAGUGACGGUAAUGGGUAAGGAAGCACCGGCUAACUACGUG